rnacentral:rRNA from 1 species
UACUCCUACGGGAGGCAGCAGUGGGGAAUAUUGGACAAUGGACCGAGAGUCUGAUCCAGCAAUUCUGUGUGCACGAUGAAGUUUUUCGGAAUGUAAAGUGCUUUCAGUUGGGAAGAAACAAAUGACGGUACCAACAGAAGAAGUGACGGCUAAAUACGUGCCAGCAGCCGCGGUAAUACGUAUGUCACGAGCGUUAUCCGGAUUUAUUGGGCGUAAAGCGCGUCUAGGUGGUUAUGUAAGUCUGAUGUGAAAAUGCAGGGCUCAACUCUGUAUUGCGUUGGAAACUGUAUAACUAGAGUACUGGAGAGGUAAGCGGAACUACAAGUGUAGAGGUGAAAUUCGUAGAUAUUUGUAGGAAUGCCGAUGGGGAAGCCAGCUUACUGGACAGGUACUGACGCUGAAGCGCGAAAGCGUGGGUAGCAAACAGGAUUAGAUACCCUGGUAGUCCACGCCGUAAACGAUGAUUACUAGGUGUUGGGGGUCGAACCUCAGCGCCCAAGCAAACGCGAUAAGUAAUCCGCCUGGGGAGUACGUACGCAAGUAUGAAACUCAAAGGAAUUGACGGA